rnacentral:lncRNA from 1 species
ACGAUGGAUGUGAAAACAAUAUCAUCUGUAGGUCUUUUGCUUUGUCAUCUUCUUAUAGGUAAGAAGUACAUAUACAUAUUCACACAUACAUACACUGCAUUUACUUUUUAAGUUCACCUACUCAAAAUUUUAUCAUUUCAGCCGGUGUUUGCCUUGAUUGUGCUUCUGAUGGUAAAAACAACAAAUUUAAUAAUAAAUAAUAAAUUAUGCUUAAAUUUGAUGUUACUUUAUGCAAUAAGCAAGGCACUUUAUUUGUAGAACACAGCAUUAACAUGUUUUGUGUCGGUAAAUGUACAGUACAUGUCUGUUGGACUGUGCUGUUGAACAACUGAAGCAAAAUGAAAAGAAAAUGUUACUGUAAAUGUUUUAUGUUACAUUUUUGUUUUUCCUGUAUAGAUCUGUGUGCAUUGUGCCUAAAACCAGAUCCAUCGUGUCCACAAGUUUGUGUAUCGUGCUUAAAUUUAGCUGUUUCCAUUACAGCUUUUCUAGCAUCUGUUCCAUCAAGCUGCAGAAAAGAAUUCUCUGUGAAUAUCACCAGCUCCAAUUCAAACCCGAAGGAGGGUGACAGCGUCAAUUUAACGUGUGUCAAUAACCUUCCUGAUAAAGAUCUGUCGUUCAGAUGGAGCAAGGAUGGAGUAAAGAAAGGUGGAAACAACAGCAACCUUGUUCUCAAUAAUGUGCUUUCAUCUGCUACUGGCUCGUACAACUGCUCUGUGGACAGCGUGUGUGGCAGUUAUUCUGCCCAGUACUCUCUCACUGUGCCCAACAACAGCGUGAUCAUCCUGGUGGUCUGUGGAGUUGCAGCUUUGGUUCUGGUUCUGAUUAUGGGUCUGGCCAUGAAGUUCAAACUGAAAAGAGACAACGCUAAACACAGAGAGAGGAGGAAGCAGAGGGAACAGAUUGGGCAAAGCGGCGGCCAAGCGCCAUUCACAAUACGACAGACCUAAAUAAGAAGCAAUCACAUCUACAGUUACUUCGUAAUAACAGAGUUGCAUAAUCAGCUGUCAUAGUAUUUGCAAUAGGAAUAAAAUGUCAUUAAUCGCUGCA